rnacentral:rRNA from 1 species
UACGGAGGGUGCAAGCGUUAUCCGGAUUCACUGGGUUUAAAGGGUGCGUAGGUGGGUCUGUAAGUCAGUGGUGAAAUCUCCGAGCUUAACUUGGAAACUGCCAUUGAUACUAUAGAUCUUGAAUACUGUGGAGGUCAGCGGAAUAUGUCAUGUAGCGGUGAAAUGCUUAGAUAUGACAUAGAACACCAAUUGCGAAGGCAGCUGGCUACACAAAUAUUGACACUGAGG